AACGCGAAGAACCUUACCAGAACUUGACAUCCUCCUGACAGGCCUUUAAUCGGGCCCUUCUUCGGACAGGAGAGACAGGUGGUGCAUGGUUGUCGUCAGCUCGUGUCGUGAGAUGUUGGGUUAAGUCCCGCAACGAGCGCAACCCUUGUCAUUAGUUGCUAACAUUAAGUUGAGGACUCUAAUGAGACUGCCGGGGACAACUUGGAGGAAGGUGGGGAUGACGUCAAAUCAUCAUGCCCCUUAUGUUCUGGGCUACACACGUGCUACAAUGGCCGGUACAACGAGAAGCGAAGUCGCAAGGCGGAGCAAACCUCAAAAACCGGUCCCAGUUCGGAUUGCAGGCUGAAACCCGCCUGCAUGAAGCCGGAGUUGCUAGUAAUCGCGAAUCAGAAUGUCGCGGUGAAUGCGUUCCCGGGUCUUGUACACACCG
rnacentral:rRNA from 1 species